AAUGACCACAUAAUGGGUGGAGCCACUCAGCCUCAGUAAAGCAAUGCUAGUGAUAACAGUUAGGAGCUAUACAGUAAGAGCAAAGCUAGCUACAAAAUAUUCCUAGCAGCGUCUACUCAUCUAAUUCUACAAGAAGUAGAGCUAGCUACAAUAUUAUGAAGCCUGACUUGUACCAGGUUGCUAACGUAAGCCCUGUCCAGGAGAAGGAAAACCACUCAAAAACUCGUUAUCGUUUUUACGGACCCAGGUGGCAGCAACAAGCUCAUCAGGCCCACCAGCAUGAGGUGUUGAGGAUGUGAAAAUAUAUUGAGACAAACAUUGUGAAGGACACGAAAGGGGAGAGAGAGGAGGAACGACAUGCAGC